rnacentral:rRNA from 1 species
AUCUUCCGCCAUAUCACCCUGAACACACCCAGUCUUGUCUGAUCUCAGAAGCUAAGCAGGGUUGGGCCUGGUUAGUACUUGGGUGGGAGAAA